AGAGUUUGAUCAUGGCUCAGGAUGAACGCUAGCUACAGGCUUAACACAUGCAAGUCGAGGGGAAACGACAUCGAAAGCUUGCUUUUGAUGGGCGUCGACCGGCGCACGGGUGAGUAACGCGUAUCCAACCUGCCCACCACUUGGGGAUAACCUUGCGAAAGUAAGACUAAUACCCAAUGACGUCUCUAGAAGACAUCUGAAAGAGAUUAAAGAUUUAUCGGUGAUGGAUGGGGAUGCGUCUGAUUAGCUUGUUGGCGGGGUAACGGCCCGCCAAGGCUACGAUCAGUAGGGGUUCUGAGAGGAAGGUCCCCCANAUUGGAACUGAGACACGGUCCAAACUCAUACGGGAGCA
rnacentral:rRNA from 1 species